CGCAUGAUCCUGCGUGGUGAUGGGUCGAGGCCUCAAACCUUGGGGGGCGUAGUGGCACAGUUGUUCGAUUCAGCCU
rnacentral:tRNA from 12 species